GCAAGCUUUGGGAUUCCGGAAUCCAUAUCACAUUAACCAAGGGUUGGUCUUAACCCUAUGGAACUGACCUCUCUAGGUCUAAGCCUUUAUCUCCUAGGUCCAAUUGACUCUAGGUUCAUUGUCCUUUACACAACCUAAGUUAUUACUUUAGGUUUAUUGCUUUCACAUUCUUAACCUAGGUUUAUUACACUAGGAUCAUCAUUCUUUUCCAACCUAGGUUCACUUGACUAUAGGUUAAGCAGCUUUCAUUUCACAACCUAUGUUCUUUACAUUAGGUUUAACAUCACUCUUAUUUAACCUAUGUUCUUUACAUUAGGUUCAACAUCACAUUUGUUUAACCUAUGUCCUCGACACUAGGUUUAAUGCCACUCGAUCUAUAGGUUUAUUCAUGUCCACCUAUAUAUGUUCCUUACUUAGCAUUCUUAACAUGCACUUGCAUUUACUAUUCUUAUAUCAUGCUUAUCACUUAUACUUUAGCAUAGCAUCAUUUACUUUAAUCAUUCUAGGGUUAUGAACCUAGUUUUCAUGCAC
rnacentral:lncRNA from 1 species